rnacentral:rRNA from 1 species
GACAAGGUUCCAGGCCCUACGGGGUGCAGCAGGCGCGAAACCUCCGCAAUGUGAGAAAUCGCGACGGGGGGACCCCAAGUGCCAUUCUUAACGGGAUGGCUUUUCAUUAGUGUAAAGAGCUUUUGGAAUAAGGGCUGGGCAAGACCGGUGCCAGCCGCCGCGGUAACACCGGCAGCUCUAGUGGUAGCAGUUUUUAUUGGGCCUAAAGCGUCCGUAGCCGGUUUAAUAAGUCUCUGGUGAAAUCCUGUAGCUUAACUGUGGGAAUUGCUGGAGAUACUAUUAGACUUGAGACCGGGAGAGGUUAGAGGUACUCCCAGGGUAGAGGUGAAAUUCUGUAAUCCUGGGAGGACCGCCUGUUGCGAAGGCGUCUAACUGGAACGGUUCUGACGGUGAGGGACGAAAGUUAGGGGCGCGAACCGGAUUAGAUACCCGGGUAGUCCUAACUGUAAACGAUGCGGACUUGGUGUUGGGGUGGCUUUGAGCUGCUCCAGUGCCGAAGGGAAGCUGUUAAGUCCGCCGCCUGGGAAGUACGGUCGCAAGACUGAAACUUAA